AAGCUAGUUGUAUUAUUAGUUAAUGCAAGAUCGACUACGUCGACUAAAGUUCUAGGUAGAAUAAUGAUGAUGACAAUUUUUUACCUAUAUGUCUUGACCAAGUCUCGUGCCAGCAGUCGCGGUAAUACGUGGAAGACUAGUGUUAUUCAUCUUUAUUAGGUUUAAAGGGUACCUAGACGGUAUUUCUAGCCCAAAAUAGGGUACGGAUUUACUAGAGUUUUAUGUGAGGAGGGGAGUACUCGUGGAGUAGAGAUGAAAUUUUGUUAUACUAUGAGGUAACUGGUGGCGGCGAAAGCAACCUUCUAUGUAUAAACUGACGUUGAGGGACGAAGGCUUGGGUAGCAAAUAGGAUUAGAUACCCUAGUAGUCCAAGCAGACAAUUCUGAAUGCCAUAGAUUAGAUUUUUUUUGAUCUAUAAAUGAAAGUGUAAGCAUUCCACCUUAGGAGUAAUGUGGCAACACAGGAACUGAAAUCAUUAGACCGUUUCUGAAACCAGUAGUGAAGUAUGUUAUUUAAUUUGAUGGUCCACAAAAAACCUUACCACAACUUGAAUAUUUUUUAAUUAAUACAAGCGUUGCACGGCUGUCUUCAGUUAAUGUCGUGAGAUUUUGGUUAACUCCAUUAAUUAACGUAAACCCUUACUUUAUUUAUUUU
rnacentral:rRNA from 1 species